CUCGCCAGCUGCCCAUCGCCUUCCAAGGCUUGUGCUGCCGGCAGUGGCAGCAGCAGAGGUGUGAUGGGGCAUCGCCUUUCCCUGAUUGCCGGGUCACCGUCCGCCCCUGAGGAAUCCUGGACUAUGGGAGGGGGCAGGCUGGGCUGAGGGGACCCCCCACCCUAGUGCAUGAAUUUUCAUGCACCAGGCC